rnacentral:lncRNA from 1 species
UAGGGGUGGCAAAAUAUGACCCGACCCGCCAACCCGACCCGCGUUCGACCCGCCAUAAACAGGUUUGGGUUUGGUCUAAACGGGUUCGGGUCGGAUACGGGUUUUAAAUGUCUGACCCGUUUAUUAAUUGGGUCAGAUACGGGUUUUAAAUGUCUGACCCGUGUAACCCGUUUAACCCGUUUAGCUAUUGGGCUGAUAGACCCGCUUCAGAGUUCAGCCCGUUU